rnacentral:rRNA from 1 species
GAGCACGUAGGUGGGUUUGUAAGUCAGAUGUGAAAGCCUUCUGUUCAACGGAAGAAUUGCAUCUGAAACUGCUAAUCUUGAGUAUAGGAGGGGAGAAUGGAACUUCUGGUGGAGCGGUGAAAUGCGUAGAUAUCAGAAGGAACGUCGGCGGCGAAAGCGAUUCUCUGGCCUAUUACUGACACUCAGUGUGCGAAAGCUAGGGGAGCAAACGGGAUUAGAUACCCCGGUAGUCCUAGCCGUAAACGAUGGGCACUAAGUAGAGGGAAUUACCGAUGUUCUCUCUGCCGUAGCUAACGCAUUAAGUGCCCCGCCUGGGGAGUACGGCCGCAAGGCUAAAACUCAAAAGAAUUGACGGGGGCUCGCACAAGCGGUGGAGCAUGUGGCUUAAUUCGAUGCAACGCGAAAAACCUUACCGGGGCUUGACAUGAUAGAAGUAGGAACCUGAAAGGGGGACGAACGGUAUCCAGUCCGUAGCUAUUACAGGUGUUGCAUGGCUGUCGUCAGCUCGUGUCGUGAGACGUUGGGUUAAGUCCCCUAACGAGCGAAACCCUUGUUUUUAGUUACCAGCGGGUUAUGCCGGGUACUCUAGAAAGACUGCCGUCGUCAAGACGGAGGAAGGUGGGGAUGACGUCAAGUCAUCAUGGCCCUUAUGCCCCGGGCUGCACACGUGCUACAAUGGUCGGUACAAACGGAAGCGAAGCCCGAGAGGUGAAGCGAAUCC